rnacentral:rRNA from 1 species
CGCAGCUAACGCGAUAAGUCGACCGCCUGGGGAGUACGGCCGCAAGGUUAAAACUCAAAUGAAUUGACGGGGGCCCGCACAAGCGGUGGAGCAUGUGGUUUAAUUCGAAGCGACGCGAAGAACCUUACCUGGCCUUGACAUGCUGAGAACUUUCCAGAGAUGGAUUGGUGCCUUCGGGAACUCAGACACAGGUGCUGCAUGGCUGUCGUCAGCUCGUGUCGUG